AUUUCAAAAUAUAAAACAAAUAUGUAUCUCUCCCUUUGAAGCGCAGCUGCAACCCAGAUGUGGUCAACUAUCAUCUUGACUUCUGGUGUCACCAUCGUUGUUUCUUAUGAAAAAAAAUCAUUGCUCUUUCAUCGUUGAUUUGGUAUCAGUAAUCAUCUUAGCCAUCAAUCAACUUGUCAUCCACCAAUUUCGUUGUUGUGCCAUCGUUGAACUCCUCCCAAUGGUCACUCAAAUAUCUGGUAAGAGAUUCUAUUGUGGAAUGGUGCUAAAAGCAUUGCAGGACAAUGCUUAAUUCAACAUGCAAAAUUUCGUGGCAUCCAUAACAUUAAUAUUGUAAGGGACAUGUACUUUGAAGUUAAGUAUUAAUGUAAUUUUUUUGAGUUAGUUGUAUCUAA